CAUAUGAAGGUCAGGCUGAAGACCUUACCCGAUUAGCUGAGAGGUGGUGCAUGGCCGUCGUCAGUUCGUACUGUGAAGCAUCCUGUUAAGUCAGGCAACGAGCGAGACCCACGUCCACAGUUGCCAGCAUACCCUCCGGGGUGAUGGGUACACUGUGGAGACCGCCGCUGCUAAAGCGGAGGAAGGAGUAGGCAACGGUAGGUCAGUAUGCCCCGAAUCUCCCGGGCUACACGCGGGCUACAAUGGUUGGUACAAUGGGCAUCUACCCCGAAAGGGGAAGGAAAUCUCUUAAAGCCAAUCGUAGUUCGGAUUGAGGGCUGCAACUCGCCCUCAUGAAGCUGGAAUCCGUAGUAAUCGCGUUUCAACAGAACGCGGUGAAUACGUCCCUGCUCCUU
rnacentral:rRNA from 1 species